rnacentral:rRNA from 1 species
CCUACGGGAGGCAGCAGUAGGGAAUAUUGGGCAAUGGACGCAAGUCUGACCCAGCCAUGCCGCGUGCAGGAUGAAGGCGUUAUGCGUUGUAAACUGCUUUUAUACAGGAAGUAACGACUCUUGCGAGAGGCAUUGACGGUACUGUAUGAAUAAGCACCGGCUAACUCCGUGCCAGCAGCCGCGGUAAUA